GACGAACGCUGGCGGCGUGCUUAACACAUGCAAGUCGUACGGAAAGGCCCUGCUUUUGUGGGGUGCUCGAGUGGCGAACGUGUGAGUAACACGUGAGUAACCUGCCCUUGACUUUGGGAUAACUUCAGGAAACUGGGGCUAAUACCGGAUAGGAGCUCCUGCUGCAUGGUGGGGGUGGGAAAGUUUCGGCGGUUGGGGAUGGACUCGCGGCUUAUCAGCUUGUUGGUGGGGUAGUGGCUUACCAAGGCUUUGACGGGUAGCCGGCCUGAGAGGGUGACCGGCCACAUUGGGACUGAGAUACGGCCCAGACUCCUACGGGAGGCAGCAGUGGGGAAUAUUGCACAAUGGGCGGAAGCCUGAUGCAGCAACGCCGCGUGCGGGAUGACGGCCUUCGGGUUGUAAACCGCUUUCGCCUGUGACGAAGCGUGAGUGACGGUAAUGGGUAAAGAAGCACCGGCUAACUACGUG
rnacentral:rRNA from 1 species